AUGGGUUUGAGCGUCCCUGCUCAGCUUCUGGGGCUCCUGCUGCUCUGGCUUCCAGGUGCCAGGUGUGACAUCCAGAUGACCCAGUCUCCAUCCUCCCUGUCUGCAUCUCUAGGAGAAACAGUCACCAUCACUCGCUGGGUCAGUCAGGACAUUACCAUUUGGUUAGACAGGUAUCAGCAGAAAAAAGGGGACAGGCCCAAACCCCUGAUCUAUAAAGCAUCCAAUUUACAAUCAGGAGUCCCACAGAGGUUCAGCUGUAGUGGAUCUGGGACAGAUUUCACUCUCAUCAUCAAUGGCCUGCAGUAUGAAGAUGUUGCAACUUAUUACUGUACGCAGCAUAAUAGUUUCCCUCUCACAGUGAUACAACCCAUAACAUACACCUCCCAGAGAAGCGGAAGGAAGAAAGUCUAA